GUUUGAUCAUGGCUCAGGAUGAACGCUGGCGGCGUGCUUAACACAUGCAAGUCGAACGAGUCCUUCGGGCUAGUGGCGGAUCGGGUGAGUAACGCGUGGGAAUCUGCCCUCAGGAGGGGGAUAACGGCCGGAAACGGCCGCUAAUACCCCAUAUGCCGAGAGGUGAAAUGAAUUUCGCCUGAGGAUGAGCCCGCGUCUGAUUAGCUAGUUGGUGGGGUAAUGGCCCACCAAGGCGACGAUCAGUAGCUGGUCUGAGAGGAUGAUCAGCCACACUGGGACUGAGACACGGCCCAGACUCCUACGGGAGGCAGCAGUGGGGAAUUUUCCGCAAUGGGCGAAAGCCUGACGGAGCAACGCCGCGUGAGGGAUGAAGGCCUCUGGGCUGUAAACCUCUUUUCUCAAGGAAGAAGACAUGACGGUACUUGAGGAAUAAGCCACGGCUAAUUCCGUGCCAGCAGCCGCGGUAAUACGGGAGUGGCAAGCGUUAUCCGGAAUUAUUGGGCGUAAAGCGUCCGCAGGCGGCCUUGUAAGUCUGUCGUUAAAGCGUGGAGCUUAACUCCAUUUCAGCGAUGGAAACUACAAGGCUUGAGUGUGGUAGGGGCAGAGGGAAUUCCCGGUGUAGCGGUGAAAUGCGUAGAUAUCGGGAAGAACACCAGUGGCGAAGGCGCUCUGCUGGGCCAUAACUGACGCUCAUGGACGAAAGCCAGGGGAGCGAAAGGGAUUAGAUACCCCUGUAGUCCUGGCCGUAAACGAUGAACACUAGGUGUCGGGGGAAUMGACCCCCUCGGUGUCGUAGCUAACGCGUUAAGUGUUCCGCCUGGGGAGUACGCACGCAAGUGUGAAACUCAAAGGAAUUGACGGGGGCCCGCACAAGCGGUGGAGUAUGUGGUUUAAUUCGAUGCAACGCGAAGAACCUUACCAGGGUUUGACAUCCUGCGAAUCCCUUGGAAACGARGGAGUGCCUUCGGGAGCCGCAGAGACAGGUGGUGCAUGGCUGUCGUCAGCUCGUGUCGUGAGAUGUUGGGUUAAGUCCCGCAACGAGCGCAACCCACGUCUUUAGUUGCCAGCAUUUCAGUUGGGCACUCUAGAGAGACCGCCGGUGAUAAACCGGAGGAAGGKGUGGAUGACGUCAAGUCAUCAUGCCCCUUACAUCCUGGGCUACACACGUACUACAAUGCUACGGACAAAGGGUUGCAAGCUCGCGAGAGUUAGCUAAUCCCAUAAACCGUGGCUCAGUUCAGAUCGUAGGCUGCAACUCGCCUACGUGAAGGAGGAAUCGCUAGUAAUCGCAGGUCAGCAUACUGCGGUGAAUACGUUCCCGGGCCUUGUACACACCGCCCGUCACACCAUGGAAGUUGGCCAUGCCCGAAGUCGUUACUCCAACCCUUGUGGAGGAGGACGCCGAAGGUGGGGCUGAUGACUGGGGUGAAGUCGUAACAAGGUAGCCGUACCGGAAGGUGCGGCUGGAUCACCUCCUAACAGGGAGACACAACUGAUCGUGAUGUCUGAGCGCCGACCAAGCGUAAGUUUGGGAAGCACAUUCGUCUCAGGCCACGGUCCUGUCAUCUCGAAGGUCGAUCGGUACCUCAAGGUGAGCCAUCAAACCCAAAGAAGAGCUAAAAGUUUCGCAAGGAGCUGGAGGUGAAUCGGAGGAUGUUGUGAUGGACUCGUUUUCAGUUCCUAAACUUUGUCUAGGUCACCCCACAAAGGGUUUACGCGUCUUGUCAAGAUUCAAGCCGAAAAGCAAUGAAUCGAGGGAAGAGGCCAGAAGCUUGUGUCGAAGUGAUUGAUCCUGGGCCAUUAGCUCAGGUKGUUAGAGCGCACCCCUGAUAAGGGUGAGGUCCCUGGUUUCAAGUCCAGGAUGNCCCAUUCGUGUUUGGGGGUUUAGCUCAGUUGGUAGAGCGCCUGCUUUGCAAGCAGGAUGUCAGCGGUUNGAGUCCGCUAACCUCCAUCCAACCAGGUGAAGACCACCAGCAGGAAGCGGCAACAGGAUUCAUUUUGAGCGGUGAGGUGACAAAGACGAUGUUCAGCUGAGGACUCCAGCCUCCUUUCAUUCCCAAGUGAUGACUUACCAAGCAAGGUAAGUGAUCGUCAAGAGUGGUUGAAAGGAAGCUGGACUCGCUGAUUUUGGCGCGAGCCAAGAAUCAGUGACUCUAGCAAAGAACCUUGACAACUGCAUAGGUGAGUCUGGAUAAAGAAAGCAUCUCAUAGAUGCCCAGACGGACGUAAUUCUUGCUUGGUACUGCCAAGUGAGGAGAGUGUCUGGCUNGGAGAUUCUUGAGUUUAGAGCCGAGAGCUUCCAGCGUCUUUUUGCUCCGCCGAGGAGUGAAGAGUUUGAUUCUGCCUUUCAAACCAUCAACAUUA
rnacentral:rRNA from 1 species